GACGAACGCUGGCGGCGUGCCUAAUACAUGCAAGUCGAACGAGAGCGACCGGUGCUUGCACUGGUCAAUCUAGUGGCGAACGGGUGAGUAACACGUGGGUAACCUGCCCAUCAGAGGGGGAUAACAUCCGGAAACGGAUGCUAAAACCGCAUAGGUCUUCGAACCGCAUGGUUUGAAGAGGAAAAGAGGCGCAAGCUUCUGCUGAUGGAUGGACCCGCGGUGCAUUAGCUAGUUGGUGAGGUAACGGCUCACCAAGGCCGUGAUGCAUAGCCGACCUGAGAGGGUGAUCGGCCACAUUGGGACUGAGACACGGCCCAAACUCCUACGGGAGGCAGCAGUAGGGAAUCUUCCGCAAUGGACGCAAGUCUGACGGAGCAACGCCGCGUGAGUGAAGAAGGUUUUCGGUUCGUAAAACUCUGUUGUUAGAGAAGAACAAGUGCUAGAGUAACUGUUAGCGCCUUGACGGUAUCUAACCAGAAAGCCACGGCUAACUACGUG
rnacentral:rRNA from 1 species